rnacentral:rRNA from 1 species
AUUGAACGCUGGCGGCAUGCCUUACACAUGCAAGUCGAACGGUAACAGGUCUUCGGAUGCUGACGAGUGGCGAACGGGUGAGUAAUACAUCGGAACGUGCCCGAUCGUGGGGGAUAACGAAGCGAAAGCUUUGCUAAUACCGCAUAAGAUCUACGGAUGAAAGCAGGGGACCGCAAGGCCUUGCGCGAACGGAGCGGCCGAUGGCAGAUUAGGUAGUUGGUGGGAUAAAAGCUUACCAAGCCGACGAUCUGUAGCUGGUCUGAGAGGACGACCAGCCACACUGGGACUGAGACACGGCCCAGACUCCUACGGGAGGCAGCAGUGGGGAAUUUUGGACAAAGGGCGAAAGCCUGAUCCAGCCAUGCCGCGUGCAGGAUGAAGGCCUUCGGGUUGUAAACUGCUUUUGUACGGAACGAAAAGACUCUGGUUAAUACCUGGGGUCCAUGACGGUACCGUAAGAAUAAGCACCGGCUAACUACGUG